GAACCCUAAAAUACAACUCACUUCGGCCAUCAAAAGGCAGGUAGGGAUGGAGGUAGGAGUGAUUUGGGGGAAGUAGGAGGAGCAGAGAGGAGCAGAGAGGAGUGAGCAGGAGAGGGGAGGAGGGGAAAGGAGUGGGGGGGACCGGGAGGGAGGCGGGGAGACGGACAUUGUGACAGGCAGGGGGCAGCCUCACCUUGAUGGUCACCGAUCCCUCCACCUUUGACAGCUCCCCAAGCAGGGCAGAGAGCAGAGAGGACUUCCCUGCCCCCACUGCACCAACAACCACCAGCAGAUGACCCUGGGGCACAGUGAGGUUUAUCCUGGCAACACAGGAGGGGAGAUAUGUCCCUGGGCAGGGCCCAGCCUGAGUCCGCGUGGAAUUGGUGAACCCCGACAGAGCCAGCCUUUCCUGUUGGCGACUCAGGCAGAGGUCACUGUGGCCCAUCUUCCACCCCGUGGCCAGAAGGACCCGUUAAAACCCGUUCAAAGUGGGAUCAUGAUGCCUCCUCGCUGAAGCCUCCAGCGGUUCCCAUGUCACUCAGGAUAAAAGAAGCAGCAACAGUUCAGACGCUGGAACCUUCUACAGGAGAAUGACAGACCUUGUUAGCCACUACCAGCUUCAGAAUCAGCUAACUCAGCACAAAGCAAGGAUCCCUGACUGGGAAGGAUCUAGGAAAGAGAGAUCAGAGUGACCUCACCAGAAACGUGGACACUUGGAAGGACACCAGAGACACAGAGAAGAGGAGGCUGGAGGUCCUCAAGGCACCCAGCUCCUGGCCCCGGAUGUGCAGGACUCUUUCUAGAAAGGCUCCCUCCCAGCCGUGGGACUUGACCAUCUUCAUGUUCCUGAUGACGCAGCUGGUGAGCCGUGCCCGAGAAUCUUUCUGCCUCAUGUGCUCCUCCUGGUACCAGAGGGAAGAAGAGGGGAAGAGAUCAGGGAAACGUCUAGAAUUCUCCUUCCCCCAAACCAUCACACCCCACCUUCAGCAAAUGCCCUUGAUUCUACAGCAGGUCCCAGGCUGUCUGCCUCUCAGUAUCGCUGUCCCCACAGUCCUGGCCCAAGUCACUGUCAUCUUGUCCCUGGACCCCCACAGGCACCUUCUCCCUCCCGUCCCCCAGCUUCUGCCCUCAUUGUGGGCCAGAAAUGAUGGGAAGCUCCCACAGACCAGGGAGGAGGUGGGAGAGGCGGAACCCUGAACCAGCCUGGGUGUGGUGCCACGGGGAAGGCUUCCUGGAGGUGGGAGUGACCGUGAGCUAUGAUGAGCAGGUGCUGGGUGUGCAAAUGGGUAGGUGAGGUGGACGAAGGAAGGCGGAGGGGACAGCACGACCCAGAGGCAGGCAGCGUGGUCAGAGAGGGUGGGGGGGGGGUGCUACAGGAGGGAGGUGGGCUGCACCACGUUGGGACUUGGGGGUCAGGCAGAGGAGUCGGGGGCCCCUGUGUCCCACUAAGGAGGGGCAUUGUCACAGGGGCAGGUGUGGACAGUGUCUUAGAGGAGGCCAAACAGGAGGCUGGAGAAACAGUCUAUGUGAGACCUUUCUUCCUCCCUCCCUCCCUCCCUCCUCCUGAUUGCCAAGCACUGUUCUAGAAGCUGAGACUGCAUCAGUGCAUAUUCCCUGCUGCCGGGAAGCUUUCAGUCCGAAGAGAGAGAGGAGCCAGGUGCAUCUGGCAAACAGGCAGGCCAAGUUGCCGAACAGCAAUAGCGCCACCAAGUGGCCAAGUGGAGAAGUGCCCAGAAGGCAAACCAGCCCACCGCCAGGAUUGGGAAAAUACUCAAAGAAAGGUGAAAGGAAGGUUAAGCUUUCUCUGGCAAAAAUAGUAUCAUUUGGAGAAAAAUGCUACAGAUGCUAACUGUGGCAACUUCAAUGUCUGCCCACCCCCCCCGCCGGGCCAGGAUUUCAGGGUGACCUUCUGACGUUAGGGACCAUCCACCAAAAGACCAGGAGGGUGAUGGGUGGGUCUUCUGCAGAUUUGCUGGGGUCAGGGGUCUGCCCCUUUAAUGGCUCUGCAUUUUCCCAGGAGUCCUUCAUCCCCCUCCCUCUUCCUAUGUGUGCCCACUGUAUGCUGGGCCCUGGCUACAAGGCGGCCAGUCAGAAAGGGUGCUGGCCCCGUGUCCCGUAGGGUAGGGGAAGUAGGCGUAGAUCUACAGUCACUGUGACGACACCCACUAGAUGGUACUUGGGAACACUCUGUGCUCGCUCACUGUCGCUAUGCCGCUGAUACACCUGCCGGGGGCCUGUGAACUGUGGCACACCUGCCAG